GGGGAUAUAGCUCAGUUGGUAGAGUGCUUGCCUUGCAUGCACAAGACCCUGGGUUCAAUCCCCAGCACCCCCC
rnacentral:tRNA from 1 species